rnacentral:rRNA from 1 species
UACAGAGGGUGCAAGCGUUAAUCGGAUUUACUGGGCGUAAAGGGCGCGUAGGUGGUAGCGUAAGUGAGAUGUGAAAUCCCCGGGCUUAACCUGGGACGUGCAUCUUAGACUGCGUAACUGGAGUGUAGUAGAGGGUAGUGGAAUUUCCGGUGUAGCGGUGAAAUGCGUAGAUAUCGGAAGGAACACCAGUGGCGAAGGCGGCUACCUGGACUAACACUGACACUGAGGCGCGAGAGCGUGGGGAGCAAACAGG